rnacentral:rRNA from 1 species
GAACGCAGCGAAAUGCGAUACCUAGUGUGAAUUGCAGAAUUCCGCGAAUCAUCGAGUUUUUGAACGCAUAUUGCGCCCGAGGCUCGCGCCGAGGGCACGUCUGUCUGAGCGUCA